GGCCGUGUCGCCGCGGCCGGCGCUGGGCGCUGCUCCCCGGCUCGUGGCCCCGCAGCUGAUCGUGCGGCCGCCGCCGCACGCCACCAUCCAGCUGCCGCCCGGCUUCACCAUCCCGCCCGGGAUGGUGCUGGUGCGCACGGACGCCGGGCAGCUCGUGAUGGUGCCCCAGCAGGCUCUGGCACAGGCUCAGAUGCAGGCCCAGGUGCAGACACAGGGACAGGGUCCUGCCAACAUGUCACCCAGGCUUUCUGUGCCCACAGCUGGCCCCGUUUUUCGCCUGUCCACAGCUCAGGUAUGUCUGGCCUGAUUUACAUUUGCUGCAUUAUGUCUUACACAUUAUUGCCCUUAUAUGUUUCUGCAACUGUGCUUUCUCCCCUUUUUGUUGGGAAAAUAGGAAAUACUUAUUCAAAUGUAGUUUAUUUUAUGAGGCUUAGGAUUUUUUUUCUUAUUUAAGGAAAAAAUAUGCUUUAGAGAAUCUCUUAAGACUCUGUUCGGACUGAGACAUGUUUGGAAGCUGCAAAGCUCAGUCUUAGUCUGGACUGUGUGCCACUGGUUUAAUAAGUGUCCCUUGCAGCUCUGAAUCAGAGGCACUGUGAUAUCCCAGGAUAGCUAAUUUCACAGGACAUUGGAAAAGAGAAAGCCAAUCACAUUCUAUCCAAGGAUUUGCAAUACAUUUAAAAUAACUUUUUAAAUAUACUUUAUUCAAAAGAAAGAUUUGAUUCUUCUAAUUUGCUUCUGCGUGUGAUGUCUCCACUGAAAGUUUUUCCUGUGUUGUGAGUACAUUUCCCUUUUUCUAGGGAUUGAUAGGAUAGAGUGCUUUCCUGUCUUAUCAGGAUGUGUUGAUUUGAACUUGGAGCUAAUUCAUUUUCUAGGGUGAAUAUGGGGUGGUCUUUUGUUGUUUGGUUUUGGUGUUUUGUUUUUGUGGGGGGUUUUUUGUUUGUUUGGUUUUUUUUUUUUUUUUUUUUUUUUUUUUGAGGGCUGCAUUGGUUUAGAAGUUUGUAGAGAGGCAAUUUAGCUUGGGGCCAUUUAGGGCUAGACCUGAGGUAUUUGACUAAAAUGUGGAGGCAAACAUCUUUGGAUCUUGGUACAGGGCUGCUGUGCCAUAGUACUAAGAGGCAGAGUUUAAGGUGGUUUUGCUUAAGGUGUGUGUUUGCAGAAGAGGUAAGCAAUUCUCUGUGGAAAGAUGAAAAAGGGGCCUUUGCAACUUUUUAGUUGUUGUAGAAGUUGCUUGAAAUAAGUUCAGCGUGUAUUUCCCAAUAUUUAUCAUUUCAUUACUUUUCCUUUAUAUGCUUUAUGUAUCACACCGUAUUUAUAGUCUAAAAGAUUUUUGAGUUUAAUUCAAAACUGAAAACAAUAAUAAAGAUUUCAGAUGAGAAAUAAGCUGGAAUAAA
rnacentral:lncRNA from 1 species